CAGCAGUCGCCACGGGAAUACGAAGGGGGCUAGCGUUGUUCGGAAUUACUGGGCGUAAAGCGCACGUAGGCGGAUCGAUCAGUCAGGGGUGAAAUCCCAGGGCUCAACCCUGGAACUGCCUUUGAUACUGUCGAUCUGGAGUAUGGAAGAGGUGAGUGGAAUUCCGAGUGUAGAGGUGAAAUUCGUAGAUAUUCGGAGGAACACCAGUGGCGAAGGCGGCUCACUGGUCCAUUACUGACGCUGAGGUGCGAAAGCGUGGGGAGCAAACAGGAUUAGAUACCCCGGUAGUCCCUGUCUCUUAUAC
rnacentral:rRNA from 1 species